UCGUUAAAAGAAAUAUGGGUGUUGAGAGAAAGACUUCACAACCCGCUGUGGGUGGGAUUGUGGUGCUUUGUCAAUCACUGGGAGGCGUAACCCUGUGCUUAUUGGCUCCCAUUCUCUUAAGAGGCAAUGAUUGACAGCAUGUCCCACCUAUCUUAGGUUUCAGGUUUUCAGCCCCUGUUUCUCCCAUCGCUGUGAAAGACCUGAACAAGACCUUCACUAGGAGGUAUCAGCCUGAGGAGUCUAGGUUAGCAAGCUCUGACUAGGCCUCCCACUCUGAUGGAGACCCCAACGCAGCUACGACAAAAGGAGGCCGAGGAUGAAGAAUGAGACAGAGAAGGCUACAAAAAUAAAGGAAAAAAAGAGAGGAAGGCUUGCUGGAGAUGUGGGAUCCCACCAGAUGUGGUAACACUUACUCCUACCUGAGGAUCCAGGGGUGCUCGCAUUCAAGGGUGAUGCAUAUGCAGUAUUGCGGCCAUUUUGGUUCUCUUGUCCUUCUCCCUCUCUCUUGCUGAUGUUCUCCUCGCCGGGCUGCCGGGCUAAAUCACUCGCAGCAGACUGCGCUCCCCUUACCUGCCGCUUGCACAUGAAACCCGACACGCGACGCAUCAGACCACCCCUAACCCCUUGGAUGCGGGACGGGGGACAUCUUGGCAUUACUUCAGACAAAGUGAACAUUUCGGCAAGCAUGUAACACAUUCAUUGAUGAGUUAAAAAUUCGCUGAGAAAUUAGUGUUAGCCGUAAGUUCAAUAAUACCCUACGCUCUGAGAUAAUGAAAAUCCGUUCACUGACCUUUUCCUGUAUUACUGGUUGUUAGAAGUGACUUAAGGGAAUGAAAUGAAUGUUACAAUGGCAAAAUGACUCCUCUAUGCUGACUUGUUCACCUGUGCUGAUGUCACAACCAUGCCAGCGAUGGAGGGUCUACAAAGCUUUGAAAACAUUUCAUUAGUCAUGAGGCGACUGUCAGAUUUCUGACUGGUUCUUCAUUCCAAACUCAACUUCAUGCUGAAUAUCAAGUCUAUUUUACAACCUGAAAUGUUACGGUCUCAGUGCUGUACUCACUAUUAGAAAAAUCAGAAAGGGCAGUUUUGGAAAAAAAACACUUCAUAGAUCACAGUCCUGGAGUUUUCUUGAAUCUGAGCAGAUCCCCAGCCCAAAAAGUGGGCCAACCCAAUUAAAUAUGACUGAUUUCCAUUCAAAAUGAGCAUGCAUAUUAAAAACAUUACAUCCUAUUAUGGAAAUGUUUAAGGAAAAAUGAUUCCCAAUCAGGUAAAGUCGUUAAACAGAUUGUAUGCAAGGGUUGUCUAACAGUACUUUUAUUUUGUCAAAAGGCAAGGUUCUGUUCUUGUGAGAGAACAGUGAAUAUUUGCCUGUCUGCCCUCUGCAUUUAGACUCGAAUCUUAAAAUUUGCAUUGCAUAAAUUAGGACUUUGUCAUCCUAUUCAUUUGACUUCCUCUGCGGGCCCCUGAAAUUUGGCUCCUCCCAAGGUUUCUUCCUUCUAGGGAGUUUUUCCUCGCCACUGUCGCCUCUGGCUUGCUCACUGGGAGCUUUGGGCAGAGAUAAU